rnacentral:rRNA from 1 species
GAUGAACGCUGGCUACAGGCUUAACACAUGCAAGUCGAGCGGAAACGCCGGGGAAGCUUGCUUCCCCGGGCGUCGACCGGCGCACGGGUGAGUAACGCGUAUCCAACCUGCCUCUGACUGAGGGAUAACCCGUCGAAAGACGGCCUAAUCCCUAAUGGCAUCGUCUGUGGGCAUACAACGACGGUUAAAGAUUUCAUCGGGCAGGGGUGGGGAUGCGUGUGAUUAGCUAGGUGGCGGGGUAACGGGCCACCCAGGCGACGGACAGUAGGGGUUCUGAGAGGAAGGGGCCCCACAGGGGAACAGAGACACGGUCGAAACUCAUACGGGAGGCAGGAGUGAGAAAUAGUGGACAGUGGGCGAGAGCCUGGACCAGCCAAGGAGCGUGCAGGGGGGCGGCCCUAGGGGUGAUAAUCUGCUGUUAGGCGGGGAUAAAGGGAUGGACGGGUCCUUCAUUGAAGGUACCUGAUGAAUAAGCACCGGCUAAUUACGUG